UCAUCAUUUAAUGGGAUCAUCUCAAGGUCUCCCAUUGGUUCUCUACACUCUUCAGUUAAUUCAUCAUGGGUCUUUAGUUCGUCAAUAGUGUAUCCAUUAGAAGGUUUUGUUCUAUGAAGAGUGAAAGUGUAGCACUGUCGUGCCAAGGCUUGAUUUCUGUGAAUCUCUCUGACGCCAUACUCGAUUGGAAAUUUCAUUUUCAAGCAAUAUAUAGAC
rnacentral:lncRNA from 1 species